rnacentral:lncRNA from 1 species
CUGCGAUUGUUCUUUCAAUUUUUCAAAUAGACUUCUUUCAAGUGAUGAAUUUUCUUUGUAAAUUUCACGGCCGCCAUCACGAUUUGGUUGAUCGUAAUGAACUAUCUGUUUCACAUAUGACAACAGAUAUAUUCUAAAUGUCAAUCACGUCCCUUUUUCUACGAACGUGACCUACCAAAUAGACUUAUCACCGGGUUUGAACUUAGAUGAGUAACACGACAGAUGCCACAAGUGGACCAGGAUCUGCUUACCCUUCCGGAGCACCUGAAAUAACCCCCUUUUUUUGGAGGCGCUCACGUUAUUCAUGAAGUCUUCGGUAUUCAAUGUCGUGUUUUGUAUAAUGUUGUUUGAUUGUGUUUUCCUUUUUUUCUAAAGCCAUGGAGUUGUCAUUUUAUUUUCGAAAUCCCGAGGUCAAACUUCAAAGAGCGGCUUCAAAUCUCAGUUGCCUGGCUACGACAUUGUAAUCGGUACACUAAACUGAGACAAUUAUUCGAAGACCACACAGUUUUCUAAAAAUCUAUACGUUCAAUCAGUUAAGAU